rnacentral:lncRNA from 1 species
UUGCAAAUCUUAAAGCUCUCUGCAUAAAUGAGAGUUUUUAUUACUAUCUCCCCUCCAACUCCCGGCAAUUUCGUUCCCGAGGAAUAACUUCACUCCUCGGGGUUGGGAAGGCUUAGGAUCUUCCCGGGUCUCCCAUUGAAAUGCAGAUCCUCGGGGAGGGCUAACACUUGACACAAUCCACAACUAAUGCCUCCGGGGGGAUUAUGAUACCUCUCGGGAGGGGGAGGGGAGGAGCGCCGGGGCCCGCCGCCGGGGCAGGGUCUCCCGGUAGCCGAACUUGACAAUUCUGCCACCUGCUCCCGCCACCCCCCGGGGCUUGGGAAGGAGAUUGGCCCGGGCCGCAGCCUCCCCCAUCCCCCCUUUGUCUCGUUUUCUGGAAGGAAGCUGGUCUGUGGGGGAGGGACGGGGAGCUGCCCUGGCCUGGAGAAAGCCCCCGCGCGGCUUUCAGGGAGCUGUCAGCGCCCCAGCUGCCCCCGGCCCCUUUCCCUGACGGACGUGGAAGCUGAGGCUGACCCGGUGGGGCCUGUCUAGGGGCUUGGGCAGCGGUUCCGGCGCCAAGGCCGGCCUAAGGGAGAUGGGAGAGCCGGGGCCCUUUUCGUGCCCGUCCCUGCAUCCAUCGCCAUCGCCUGGGACGCGUUAAACCGAAUAUUCUCCUCGGUGCCCCGAGACCCGCUCAGAGUCUGGGAGCCCACGUUAGUCAGGGUAACUGGCGUUCGCCCGGCGCUUUGGGGGUGCACAUGGGAUCCUCCCCCGGAGCCCGGAGGAAGGGCCCGUCCUCUCCCAGUUUUACUAAGCGGAAAACAAACAGCCCUUUUGAGCAUGUGGUAUGAAGGACAGAACAAGGGACUUUGAAUCAGGGAAGAUUUGGGGUCAAAUAGCUUCAUGAUGUUGGACAAGUUACUCAACUUCUGGUCUCUUUCAAGACCCACCUCAAAUCCAACUUUCUAUCUUUUAAAAAAAUUUUUUUAAAUUUAAAAUUUAAAUAAAAAUUAAAACAUUUUUCUGCAGGGGUUCUUUUUGAUUCUCCCCAGCUACUAGUGCCUUUUGUUCU